rnacentral:rRNA from 1 species
AAUAUUGGUCAAUGGAGGCAACUCUGAACCAGCCAAGUCGCGUGAAGGAUGACUGCACUAUGGGUAGGAAACUUCUUUUUUAAGGGAAUAAAGUGAGCCACGAGUGGCCUUUUGCUUGUACAUUACGAAUAAGGAUCGGCUAACUACGUGCGAGCAGCCGCGGUAAUACGGAGGAUCCGAGCGUUCUCCGGAUUUAUUGGGUUUAAAGGGUGCGCAGGCGGAUUAUUAAGUCGGCGGUGAAAGUUUGCAGCUUAACUGUAAAAUUGCCGUUGAAACUGGUUUUCUUGAGUGUAUAUGAAGUAGGCGGAAUUUGUAGUGUAGCGGUGAAAUGCAUAGAUAUUACAAGGAACUCCGAUUGCGAAGGCAGCUUACUAAAAUGCAACUGACGCUCAGGCACGAAGGCGUGGGUAUCAAACA